UACGGAGGGUGCAAACGUUGCUCGGAAUCAUUGGGCGUAAAGCGCACGUAGGCUGCUCGACAAGUUGGAUGUGAAAGCCCUUGGCUCAACCGAGGAAGUACAUCCAAAACUGGCGGGCUUGAAUCUCGGAGGGGGCCAGAGAAUUCCCGGUGUAGAGGUGAAAUUCGUAGAUAUCGUAAGGAAGACCAGUGGCGAAGGCGGGUCUCUGGACAGUUCCUGACGCUGAGGCACGAAGGUCAGGGGAGCAAACGGG
rnacentral:rRNA from 1 species